GUUUAGGGUCAGUCACUGUGCUCAGGUAUUCUGCCACUGUGUACUCUCUGUUUAGGGCCAAAUAGCAUUCUAGUUUGCCCUGUUUUGUUGUUAAUUACUUGACACAUUGGAAAUAAUUAUAUUUUUGUUUUCUCAUGAUUUGGUUGGGUCUAAUUGUGCUGCUGUCCUGGGGCUCUUAGGGGACUCUUCUCCAGGUUCAUCUCUCUGUAGGGUGUGUUUGUGUUUGUGAACAGAGCCCCAGGACCAGCUUGCUUAGGGGACUCUUCUCCAGGUUCAUCUCUCUGUAGGGUGUGUUUGUGUUUGUGAACAGAGCCCCAGGACCAGCUUGCUUAGGGGACUCUUCUCCAGGUUCAUCUCUCUGUAGGGUGUGUUUGUGAACAGAGCCCCAGGACCAGCUUGCUUAGGGAACUCUUCUCCAGGUUCAUCUCUCUGUAGGGUGUGUUUGUGAACAGAGCCCCAGGACCAGCUUGCUUAGGGGACUCUUCUCCAGGUUCAUCUCUCUGUAGGGUGUGUUUGUGUUUGUGAACAGAGCCCC